rnacentral:rRNA from 1 species
AAUGGCUUUUGCCUUCAACGCUGUAAACCUGUGGAAGCAAGAUGUGCUUUGGUGCUCCGGCGCCCUGUUUAUGCAGUAAAGUAUUUGUCUGAAUCUAAAAUCAAGAAUUAAAACUUUCAACAAAGGAUCUCUUGGCUCUCGCAUCGAUGAAGAACGCAGCGAAGCGCGAAAUGUAGUGUGAAUCGCAGAACAUUGUGAAUCAUCGAAUCUUUGAACGCACAUUGCGCCUCCCGUUACUGGGAGGCAUGCCUGUCUGAGCGUCAUUUAAAACGUAGCACCCCACCAAGGGUCUGUCUUGGGCCUCGCCUGUGGGCGUAGCCUCAAAGUCAUCGGUCUAAAGAGCGNACGAGAUCCAUUGGRACARACCGUUCUGCGACCUUAAAUCUCCGACUUGACCUCAGAUCAGGUAGGGCUACCGCCUGAACUUAAGCAUAUCAAUA